rnacentral:rRNA from 1 species
AUUGAACGCUGGCGGCAGGCCUAACACAUGCAAGUCGAACGGUAACAGGAAACAGCUUGCUGUUUCGCUGACGAGUGGCGGACGGGUGAGUAAUGUCUGGGAAACUGCCUGAUGGAGGGGGAUAACUACUGGAAACGGUAGCUAAUACCGCAUAACGUCGCAAGACCAAAGAGGGGGACCUUCGGGCCUCUUGCCAUCGGAUGUGCCCAGAUGGGAUUAGCUAGUAGGUGUGGUAACGGCUCACCUAGGCGACGAUCCCUAGCUGGUCUGAGAGGAUGACCAGCCACACUGGAACUGAGACACGGUCCAGACUCCUACGGGAGGCAGCAGUGGGGAAUAUUGCACAAUGGGCGCAAGCCUGAUGCAGCCAUGCCGCGUGUAUGAAGAAGGCCUUCGGGUUGUAAAGUACUUUCAGCGGGGAGGAAGGGAGUAAAGUUAAUACCUUUACUCAUUGACGUUACCCGCAGAAGAAGCACCGGCUAACUCCGUG